UCGUCACACUAUCAUUAACUGAAUCCAUAGGUUAAUGAGGCGAACCGGGGGAACUGAAACAUCUAAGUACCCCGAGGAAAAGAAAUCAACCGAGAUUCCCCCAGUAGCGGCGAGCGAACGGGGAGGAGCCCAGAGCCUGAAUCAGCAUGUGUGUUAGUGGAAGCGUCUGGAAAGGCGCGCGAUACAGGGUGACAGCCCCGUACACAAAAGCGUAUGUGCUGUGAGCUCGAUGAGUAGGGCGGGACACGUGGUAUCCUGUCUGAAUAUGGGGGGACCAUCCUCCAAGGCUAAAUACUCCUGACUGACCGAUAGUGAACCAGUACCGUGAGGGAAAGGCGAAAAGAACCCCGGCGAGGGGAGUGAAAAAGAACCUGAAACCGUGUACGUACAAGCAGUGGGAGCCCCACCACUAAGCCAGUGGUGAACUCCACAUACGCAUCCUUUGCUGAGGAUACGGUUAACGGAGCGAAAGCGACGUUCAACCGCAAAAGAAGCAGAGGGGGCUUAGUGGUGGGGUGACUGCGUACCUUUUGUAUAAUGGGUCAGCGACUUAUAUUCUGUAGCAAGGUUAACCGAAUAGGGGAGCCGGAGGGAAACCGAGUCUUAACCGGGCGUUAAGUUGCAGGGUAUAGACCCGAAACCCGGUGAUCUAGCCAUGGGCAGGUUGAAGGUUGGGUAACACUAACUGGAGGACCGAACCGACUAAUGUUGAAAAAUUAGCGGAUGACCUGUGGCUGGGGGUGAAAGGCCAAUCAAACCGGGAGAUAGCUGGUUCUCCCCGAAAGCUAUUUAGGUAGCGCCUCGUGAAUUCAUCUCCGGGGGUAGAGCACUGUUUCGGCUAGGGGGCCAUCCCGGCUUACCAACCCGAUGCAAACUGCGAAUACCGGAGAAUGUUAUCACGGGAGACACACGGCGGGUGCUAACGUCCGUCGUGAAGAGGGAAACAACCCAGACCGCCAGCUAAGGUCCCAAAGUCAUGGUUAAGUGGGAAACGAUGUGGGAAGGCCCAGACAGCCAGGAUGUUGGCUUAGAAGCAGCCAUCAUUUAAAGAAAGCGUAAUAGCUCACUGGUCGAGUCGGCCUGCGCGGAAGAUGUAACGGGGCUAAACCAUGCACCGAAGCUGCGGCAGCGACGCUUAUGCGUUGUUGGGUAGGGGAGCGUUCUGUAAGCCUGUGAAGGUGGCCUGUGA
rnacentral:rRNA from 1 species